rnacentral:rRNA from 1 species
GAAACAUGGAUUAAUACCCCAUAAUUUUAUUUAAUCACCUGGUUAGAUAAUUAAAGUUCCGACGGUACAAGAUGGGCAUGCGUAUGAUUAGCUAGAUGGUGAGGUAACGGCUCACCAUGGCGACGAUCAUUAGCGGGUCUGAGAGGAUGAUCCGCCACACUGGUACUGAGAUACGGACCAGACUCCUACGGGAGGCAGCAGUAGGGAAUAUUGGUCAAUGGGCGAGAGCCUGAACCAGCCAUGCCGCGUGAAGGAAGACGGCCUUCUGGGUUGUAAACUUCUUUUAUCAGAGAACAAAAAGUCCCUGCGGGGAAAAUUGAGUGUAUCUGACGAAUAAGCACCGGCUAACUCCGUGCCAGCAGCCGCGGUAAUACGGAGGGUGCAAGCGUUGUCCGGAUUUAUUGGGUUUAAAGGGUGCGUAGGCGGGAUAUUAAGUCAGUGGUGAAAGCCUUCGGCUCAACCGAAGAACUGCCAUUGAUACUGAUAUUCUUGAGUACGGAUGAGGUAAGCGGAAUUUAUGGUGUAGCGGUGAAAUGCAUAGAUACCAUAAAGAACACCGAUAGCGAAGGCAGCUUACUAGACCGUAACUGACGCUGA